ACAUAUAUUACUUCAUCAAUUUAUAUCACAUAUGUAUUCAGCCAAGAAAAUUCAUUCAAUUAAAGAAAAGACUAACUAUAAUUCCAGCACAAGAAAUUCAACGAAAAUAUUACACAAUUAACAUAAAAACAGAAAGAAAGAACACGAGAUUACAUGGAGAAAUGGACCUUCGUGCAAACCAAUUCCUUUAAUAUGAUGAAAGAACGUCCAAAUGUAUUCCAACGGAAGAAAAGCGAUGCGACGCUGACGACCGGAAAAUCGAACAACAACCCAAAACUACGAAAUAACUUCUGACCAGAGGCCGCUAACCUCUUUAAUGCCUCAACUCCGACACAACUCGGCAACGAAGGAUUUCAAUGUUCCGAGACCAAAAAUAACAGAGCUUUUAGUGAAAAUUUUGAUGAAUCUGUUCUUUUUUUCUUUCUUUAUCUGUUCUUUCCGUCCCUUUCUCUCUUUUUUUCCUUUUUUGUUGUUGUUAAGUGCC
rnacentral:lncRNA from 1 species